rnacentral:rRNA from 1 species
CAGCGCCACGAGUGGCAACCAUAGUUAUUGGGCCUAAAGCGUCCGUAGCCGGUUGUGUAAAUUUUCUGUGAAAUCGUUAAGCUUAACUUAACGGACUGCAGAAAAGACUACACAACUUGGGACCGGAAGGAGUCAGAAGUAUUUCUGGGGGAGCGGUAAAAUGUUAUAAUCCCAGAAAGACUACCUGUGGCGAAGGCGUCUGACUAGUACGGAUUCGACGGUGAGGGACGAAAGCUAGGGGAGCAAUCCGGAUUAGAUACCCGCGUAGUCC